GACCUAUGUGUUCCCUGCCAGCGUGGAUUGCAUCUUCAAACUGCCCAGAGCUUUUGGACAACCAAACACACACAGGAUGGAUGAUAGCAUGGAGACACUCCAAGGAGCCUCUCUCCACCAUCUUCAUCCCUGAACAUCCAUCUCCUUGUGGGUUGCAAACACGAACAGGCCAAGUGGUGGUGCCCCUGUCAGUCACUCACCGCUCUCUGGAGCUGAAGAUCAAGCCUCGCUUCGUUUGCUUUGUCAUCUACAUUUUUGUGCAGACAAGUUUUGAACAGGCUCUGUGGCGUUCACUCCAGUCCCAGCCAUUCCUGGGGAUGAAUAGACAUUUGAUGAAGCCUGGAAGGACAGUUGAAACAUUUCAUCUGACGGACCUCAACUUUUCCUGAACAGAGCAUCUCAGAGCCGUGGACUUCCCAGCAGUCCACGAGCAUUGUGUUUGAAUAAAAAAUGAAAACCAGUAAAUACAAGCAGCAGGAAAACUG
rnacentral:lncRNA from 1 species